UAUGGUAAAAAGAACUGACUCCUUCAGGUUC
rnacentral:piRNA from 1 species